rnacentral:rRNA from 1 species
UACAGAGACUGCAAGCGUUAUUCGGAUUCACUGGGCGUAAAGGGCGCGUAGGCGGCCACCGCAAGUCGACUGUGAAAUCUCCGGGCUUAACCCGGAAAGGUCAGCCGAUACUGCGGGGCUAGAGUGCAGAAGGGGCAACUGGAAUUCUCGGUGUAGCGGUGAAAUGCGUAGAUAUCGAGAGGAACACCUGCGGCGAAGGCGGGUUGCUGGGCUGACACUGACGCUGAUGCGCGAAAGCUAGGGGAGCGAACGGG